UACGUAGGGCGCAAGCGUUGUCCGGAAUUAUUGGGCGUAAAGAGCUCGUAGGCGGUCUGUCGCGUCGGAUGUGAAAGUCCAGGGCUCAACCCUGGGAUGCCGGUCGAUACUGCCGGACUAGAGUUCGGAAGAGGCGAGUGGAAUUCCCGGUGUAGCGGUGAAAUGCGCAGAUAUCGGGAGGAACACCUAUGGCGAAGGCAGCUCGCUGGGACGUUACUGACGCUGAGACGCGAAAGCGUGGGGAGCAAACAGG
rnacentral:rRNA from 1 species